rnacentral:rRNA from 1 species
CCUACGGGUGGCAGCAGUGGGGAAUAUUGGGCAAUGGGCGCAAGCCUGACCCAGCAACGCCGCGUGAAGGAAGAAGGCUCUCGGGUUGUAAACUUCUUUUCUCAGGGACGAAGCAAGUGACGGUACCUGAGGAAUAAGCCACGGCAAACUACGUGCCAGCAGCCGCGGCAAUACGGAGGUGGCAAGCGUUAUCCGGAUUUACUGGGUGUAAAGGGCGUGUAGGGGGGAAAGCAAGUCAGAUGUGAAAACCAUGGGGUCAAACUGUGGCCUGCAUUUGAAACUGUUUUUCUGGAGUACUGGAGAGGCAGACGGAAUUCCUGGUGUAGCGGUGAAAUGCGUAGAUAUUAGGAGGAACCCCAGUGGCGAAGGCGGUCUGCUGGACAGCAACUGACGCUGAGGCGCGAAAGCGUGGGGAGCGAACAGGAUUAGAUACCCGGGUAGUC